UUUCCGUAGGUGAACCUGCGGAAGGAUCAUUAUUGAAACUUGAAUCGUAGCAUUGAGAACUGUUGCUGGCCUGUUAAAGGGUAUGUGCACGUUCGACGUGUUGCGUCCUAUUCAUCCACCUGUGCACCUUUGUAGACUUGAUUAACUUUCGCUUUCGAGCGGUUAGAAGGGCUGCUUUCGAGCUCCCUUUGUCUAUCAAGUCUAUGUCUAUAUAAUCUCUUGUAUGUCUAGAAUGUCUUGUUUAUGGGACGCAAGUCCUUUAAAUCUUAUACAACUUUCAACAACGGAUCUCUUGGCUCUC
rnacentral:misc_RNA from 1 species